UAGAAAGAGAAUGGUGUGUGCCAAAUGAGUUGCUGUAGAAACCGAAUACUUCAAUGGUUGCGGAUGAAAUAGCUCAAAUCGAGAGCCCCUCUGGAUACUGUUUGCCGAUCGUCGACCUUCGCUUGUUUUAGGAUUGCUCUUUGUCUUGUCCCUGCCAUACCUGUUUGCCAUUGUUUGACCCUGCCUGUGCGACCACGUCUCUGCCUAAUAAAAAGCUUGCAGAUGGAUCCGCACGUCUCAUGUCUCGUCAGCUCCGUUACACAACUGGUUUUGAAAGCAUGGGUCGACUGCUCCAAAGCAAGUUGGAACAUCUUGUCUGGACCCUACAGAACAUACUGCAGCCCAUGUCUUGCUGUUUUAUUCACCUCUGUUUGUUUGUUUGUUUGUUUUUUCUGGUUCUAAGUGUGCUAAACACCAUUGUAACAGUGUUCUCCAAUUGUUGAGAUGAAUUGCUAAGAUAAAGAUUUCAUACAACAGGAAAACAUAAAAGUUAUUUAACAUUACACUCUGACAAUAUCACAAUUCAUGUGCAUUGAUUGAUGUUUACAGUCCUGCAGAAAUAUCACUGUCCAUGACACUGAAUCCAUCAGAUUCUUGACAAGAACUCAGAAAGCAUGACAGCAAACAGGUUGCUUAUUUUUGGUAUUUUGGGUCAACACUUCAUAAAGUAAUGGCUAAACUUUCUUUAAGAUGUUUUAUAAAUAAAUUGUGCCUCACUCACAUAUUUUACAAUUGUUUUCUUUACAUGUGUAAU